rnacentral:rRNA from 1 species
UCCGUAGGCGGACUAAUAAGUCAGGGGUGAAAUCCCACAGCUCAACUGUGGAACUGUCUUUGAUACUGUUAGUCUUGAGUUAUAUGGAAGUAGAUAGAAUGUGUAGUGUAGCGGUGAAAUGCUUAGAGAUUACACAGAAUACCGAUUGCGAAGGCAGUCUACUACGUAUAUACUGACGCUAAUGGGCGAAAGCGUGGGGAGCGAACAGGAUUAGAUACCCUGGUAGUCC